GGGGGAAGGGAUCAAGCACAUUCAGGGUCGAGUCUUUCCAACCUUCUUCCUUCCGCUGCGAGUCCCUCAUUGCACGUAGAUUAACUUCAACGCAGCGCUUUGGGUCUUUUGUCUUCGCCCUGUUGCACAAAGGAGAGCUAAUGUUUAAAAAGAAAAAAGAGAUUUUUCUAAAUGAAACAGUAUGAUUUAAGCACAGCCAGGCUGAAACUGGAUAAUCAACACUACCAUCCUCCACCCGGAGUAAACACAGGUGCAGCUUUCGGCUGUCUUCGCCUUUUUUCUGGACAGUUAGGGAAGCUAUCAUGAACCAACAGGACCGGAUCAUCGGACCCCCAAACAACUAUUCAAUGACAUCUUACUAUCAGAAAACAUAUGGGAAAUUAGCUUUUUGUAAUUUGG
ensembl:lncRNA